rnacentral:rRNA from 1 species
UACAGAGGGUGCGAGCGUUGUUCGGAAUUAUUGGGCGUAAAGGGCGCGUAGGCGGUGCGGUAAGUCACCUGUGAAACCUCUGGGCUUAACUCAGAGCCUGCAGGCGAAACUGCCGUGCUGGAGGGUGGGAGAGGUGCGUGGAAUUCCCGGUGUAGCGGUGAAAUGCGUAGAUAUCAGGAAGAACACCCGUGGCUAAGGCGGCUCUCUAGUACGGUACUGACGCUGAGACGCGAAAGCGUGGGGAGCGAACAGG